UACGGAGGGUGCAAGCGUUAUCCGGAAUCAUUGGGUUUAAAGGGUCCGCAGGCGGAUUUAUAAGUCAGUGGUGAAAGCCUAUUGCUCAACAAUAGAACUGCCAUUGAUACUGUAAGUCUUGAAUUCGGUCGAAGUGGGCGGAAUAUGACAUGUAGCGGUGAAAUGCUUAGAUAUGUCAUAGAACACCGAUAGCGAAGGCAGCUCACUAAACAAACAUUGACGCUGAGGCACGAAAGCGUGGGGAUCAAACAGG
rnacentral:rRNA from 1 species